GGACUUUUAACUUCUUUGACUAAGAGAAUACCAAAAAAAGCAAUGCUGUGUAACUUUUGAGACGUGGCCUAGAUUGACAAUCUGACUUCUGCUCACUGUUUUUCAGAAUCCUCCAUCUCAGGAAGGCCCCAGUAUUGCCAGGCUGGGAGAAACCCAAGCCAUGAGGAUAGACCAUGAAUAGGAGUUCUGGUUGACAAUCCCAGUUCACUCCCAGCUUCAAAUACACAAGGCCAAGUGCCAGAUACGGGCAUAAAAAGCAAUUUUGGAAGUGGACACUCCAGUCCCAGCUGUCCUAGCCCUCAGCUAUUUGAGUUGCAUCCAGACAUGUAAAUCUUCCCAGCUGAGGCCUCAUCAUUGAGGUGCAGAAAAGGGGCAUGCCCAUUGUGCCUGUUUCUAAAUUCCUGACCCACAGAACCUCUAAUCAGCAAUACAACUGGGAUUUGAUAUCAGAUUCAUGCGAUUCCGAAGACCCUGACCACCAAAUGCAAAAGAGUGGGGUGCUGGUGAAAACAUAUCCAAAAAUGUGGAAGCGACGUUGGAACUGGGUAACAGGCAGAGGUUGGAACAGUUUGGAGGACUCAGAAGAAGACAGGAAAAUGUGGCCAAGUUUGGAACUUCCUAGAGACUUGCUGAAUGGCUUUGAACAAAAUGCUGACAGUGAUAUGGACGAUGAAAUCCAGGCUAGGUGGUCUCAGCUGGUGAUAAGGAACUUGUUGGGAACCGGAGUAAAGGUGAGUCUUGCAAACACACUGGUGGCAUUUUGCCCGGCCCUAUAGAUUUGUAGAACUUUGAACUUGAGAGACAUGAUUUAGGGUAUCUGGCAGAAGAAAUUUCUAAGCAGGAAAGCACUUACGAUGUGACUUCGGUGCUGUUGAAAGCAUUCAGUUUUAUAAGGCAAGCAGAGCAUAAAAAUUUGGAAAAUUUGCAGCCUGACAAUGCAAUAGAAAAGAAAAUCCCAUUUUCUGAGGAGAAAUCCAAGCCAGCUACAGACAUUUGCAUAAGAUAAUGGGGAAAAUGUCUCCAGGACAUGUCAAAGGUCUUUACCUCAGCCUCUCCCAUCACAGGCACAGAGACCUAGGAGGAAGAAGCGGUUUUGUGGGCUGGGCCCAGGGUUCCUUUGCUGUGUGCAGCCUAGGGACUUCAUCCCCUGCAUCACAGCAACUCUAGCUAUGGCUGAAAGGGGACAACAUAGAGCUCAGGCUAUGGCUUCAGAGGGUGCAAGCCCCAAGCCUUGGCAUCUUCCAUGUGGUGUUGAGCCUAUGAGUGCACAGAAGUCAAGAAUUGAGGUUUGGGAACCUCUGCCUAGAUUUCAGAAGAUGUAUGGAAACGCCUGAAUGCCGAGGCAGGAGUUUGCCAUAUGGGUGGGGUCCUCAUAGAGAACCUCUGCUAGGGCAGUGCAGAAGGAUAAUGUGGGGAGGGAGCCCACACACAGAAUCCCUACUGGGGCACCACCUAGUGGGGCUGUGAGAAGAGGGCCACCGUCUUCCAGACCCCAGAAGUGUAGAUCCACUGACAGCUUGCACUGUGUGCAUGGAAAAGCUGCAGACACUUAACACCAGCCCGUGAAGGCAGCCAGGAGGGAGACUGUACCCUGCAGAGCCAGAGGGGUGGAACUGCCCAAGACCAUGGGUAUCCACCUCCUGCAUCAGCAUGACCUAGAUGUGAGACAUGGAGUCAAAGGAGCUUUAGAUUUGACUGCCCUUCUGGAUUUCAGACUUGCAUGGGGCUUGUAGCCUCUUUGUUUUGGCCAAUUUCUCCCAUUUGCAAUGGCUGUGUUUACCCAAUCCCUUUACCCCUGUAACCGCAUUGUAUCUAGGAAGUAACUAACUUGAUUUUGAUUUUACAGGCUCAUAGGUGGAAGGGACUUGCCUUGUCUCAGAUGAAACUUUGGACUGUGGACUUUUGAGUUAAUGCUAAAAAGAGUUGACACUUUGGGGGACUGUUGGGAAGGCAUGACUGGUUUUGAAACAUGAAGAUAUGAGAUUCGGGAGGGGCUGGAGUGAAAUGAUAUGGUUUGGCUCUGUGUCCCCAUCCAAAUCUCAUCUUGUAGCUCCCAUAAUUUCUAUAUGUAGUGGGAGGGACCUGAUUGGAGAAGACUGAAUCAUGGGGGCAGGUCUUUCCCAUGCUGUUCUCAUAAUAGUGAAUGGGUCUCACAAGAUCUAAUGGUGUUAAAAACAGGAUUGUCUCUGCACAAGCUCUUUUUUUGCCUGCUGCCACCCACAUAAGAUGUGUCUUGCUCCUUUUUGCCAUGAUUGUGAGUCCUCCCCAGCCAUGCGGAACUGUAUGUCCAAUAAACCUUUUUCUUUUGUAAGUUGUCUGGUCGUGGGUAUGUCUUUAUCAGCAGUGUUAAAAUGGACUAAUACAAUCACUCUAUCAAAUGAG
rnacentral:lncRNA from 10 species